AGGAGACUGGGUGAGAAGCUGUACAGAGUAUGGACAGAAGGUGGGGCUAUUGCAUCUCCUACUGGUCUGCUUGCUGGGGAGAAUGAAGAUUUGUGUGUGUCUGGUGUAAAUUGAAGUUUACUGGCGUAAAUUAAGAUUUGUGAGACUCAAAUCGUGUGCAUGAAAUACGCUUGAUAUUCAGUCUGGGACUAAUAUCGGUAUGAAUGAGGUCGGGGACCAAGCGAGUGUGGUACAUUAGGUAUUUCAGUUGGAGCUGGUAACGGUGAGAAUGUUGAAAAAGUCGCAGGCUUGCUGAUGGGAGUUAUAUCAUAGAAUAUUGGGGGGUGUGCAUGACUGUUGGAAAAGGUGUUCAACUCUAUUAACGUAAAAUUCUGUGUGUAGAGUUAUAUUAUGAGGUUGGAACUAUACUAAUAUUGUGGAAUUACAUAAUCAACAUCUGAACAUACUUACGUUAAACAUUAAUUGAGCCACUGAGUAAUAGAUAAGAUAUACACUAGGUACGGGGCGAUGGGUGUGGUCGAUGUAAGACGGGAGUGGUGUUCUAACCAAGUGCUGAGACAUAAGGUAGAUUUAUUUUGUUCUUUUAAUUAGUUUACACAAGUUCUUCCCGGUUAUUGAUUUUGGUUUGAUUGUUCAGAUAAAACCACUGAAAUUAAACAGGAGGUUAAGGUAGACUAACAUUAGAAUCUGUAUUCAUUAUGGGGAACAAUGAAAGGCCCGCAGAGGGGAUUGCAGGCUGAGGUUUUUAUGUUAAAGGGACAGUGCACAUUUAACACAGUUGUGUGUGUGUCUAAUGGCUGGGGAUUUAAGAAGUAUUUUUGGGGAGACAAUUUGGAGAAACACGAAUAAAACAUGAAACACCGAGACAAAUUAUUUGAGUUUGAGGGGAUUAUCAUAAUUAUUAGGUUUUGUUUUUGUAGUAAACGUUUGGGUUAAGGGGAUUUUCACGUUCCCAGAUACAUGGUAUUUUACAGCUGGGGGAAAAGGCAGACGGAGGGGCCCUCCCCCGCACUGCAGAGACCUUGAAAGUUGGCGAGAAGAGAGGAGAGGUUUUUGGAAAGGGGGGGGCCAGGACAGGCAAAGAUAGCAGUUGCUGAGUGGAGACAGGGGGGAGAGUUGGACAUGUAGAAAAUGUAGGGGGCGCUCCUUCAUGAUGAUGUCAGAACAUAAGGAUACUAUACUAAUCUUACCUAAGUCAUUAUUUAGAGUAGGUAAGGUUGAUACCUGGACAAAGCCAGGUAUCAAAAGGGGGAUGGGUAAAUUGUGGUCUAGGAUAGGAUGGGGACUAUUGGAUAAGAAACUAAUAAUUAAAAAAAUGUAAGCUAACAAUUGGGCAUAGAAGUUAAAGAUAUAAUCAGAUAAAACAUAUGAGAAAUUGUUUGUUAACCAAGCCUGUAUGUCCAGGAUUUUAUGCAUUACAGGUGAACUACAGGUGAAGUCACUCAAUCCAGUCCCAGAGGCUUGGGGACCAUAGAAGACCCCUGGUGACAGCUAGCUGAAAGAGCUACCCAGAUUCAUAUCGCACGGCGGAAGGGUAAGACACUUUUUCACUGUCGGACAAUAAACAGAGUUCGGGAGAAGAACUGGAAUUAACAGAAUUCCGGGGGCCAACUCUCGAAUGAAGUAAACCCUACCUGUCCUAUCACCCCUGUUUUUGUUCAUAGAAUGAGGAUGUGUCUGGCUCUGGCUAAGUGAUAUGUAUUUUGUUCCAAAAUGAACAUAAGAGAUCCCUAGAUCUGGGUAGACAGGAAGUUAGAGUAGAGAUUACAUGAUAACCGACUUCGGGGGGGGGAUCCCACAAGGGUGGAUAGGUUUUCCAUGAUAUGGGGGAAACCUGGGAGCAAUGUUGAACUUUGUAAAGGUGAUGAAAUCCUACUAACCAU